UGGGGAAUAUUGCACAAUGGAGGGAACUCUGAUGCAGCGACGCCGCGUGAGGGAAGAAGGUUUUCGGAUUGUAAACCUCUGUCUUCGGGGACGAUAAUGACGGUACCCGAGGAGGAAGCCACGGCUAACUACGUGCCAGCAGCCGCGGUAAUACGUAGGUGGCAAGCGUUGUCCGGAAUUACUGGGUGUAAAGGGAGCGCAGGUGGGAUGGAAAGUUGGAUGUUUAAUCUACGGGCUCAACUCGUAUCAGCAUUCAAAACUAUCAUUCUUGAGUGGAGUAGAGGCAGGCGGAAUUCCAGGUGUAGCGGUGGAAUGCGUAGAUAUCUGGAGGAACACCAGUGGCGAAGGCGGCCUGCUGGGCUCUAACUGACACUGAGGCUCGAAAGCGUGGGUAGCAAACAGG
rnacentral:rRNA from 1 species